GGAUAGCUCAGUUGGUAGAACAUGAGACUGUUAAUCUCAGGGCCCGGGGUUCAAGCCCCACGUUGGGCA
rnacentral:tRNA from 1 species